rnacentral:rRNA from 1 species
GUGCCAGCAGCCGCGGUAAUUAGGGAGGGUGCAAGCGGUUAUUGGAAUUUACUGGGGUAAAAGCGCACGCAGGGCGUUUUGUUAGUUCAGAUGUGAAAUCCCCGGGCUCAACUCCGCGAACUGCAUCUGAUACUGGCAGGCUUGAGUCUCGUAGAGGGGGGUAGAUUUCCAGGUGUAGCGGUGAAAUGCGUAGAGAUCUGGAGGAAUACCGGUGGCGAAGGCGGCCCCCUGGACGAAGACUGACGCUCAGGUGCGAAAGCGUGGGGAGCAAACAGGAUUAGAUACCCUGGUAGUCC